UUACAUCUUUUCAUAUUUUUCCUCAAUUUAGGAUUUUUAAAUUCCUAGUUUUCUAUCAUUCAUGUUUCUUUGUUUGUUUUGUGCUUACUUUAAAGUUUAGAAUAUAAUUUCUUAAACAUUCAAGAAGCUCAAAAUUUUAGUCUGAUCUCUUUGUUGGUUUCUAGACUUUUGAUAAAUUAUUUAAUUAUGUAUCUAGCUUAGUUCAAAUGAUUGUAGAUGAAGGAUGAUUUCAAGAAGUGACACAAAUUUUACUGUGAGCAGCUUUUUCACAGGCCACAGAGGAGGUUCAUUGAGCUGGAGGCUCUGGAGAAAAUCAUACAGGAAAGAAUAUGUUUGUUAUUUGCUUUGGACAUCUAAAUUAAAGCAAUAUAGUUGUACUAAAGAUACUGAAUUAGACAUACUUUGAACAUCUCACAUGUUUACUCAGAUUGAGAAUUGAUAGUGAAAAUGAAAUUAGUAAACCUUGUCCCCAACCUGAUUUAUUCAUAUUAGAGCAUUCAUUCAAGUCUUGUGUGCUAUAUUUUGAUUCUUUCUUCCAUAUUCAAUAACCUCUCUGAUUUGAACUUGGUUAUUGUGAAAAAGGGUGACAAUAAUUUAUGAGCCAUUUCUCCAUUGAUACUUGCUUUUCUAAAUUCACCUAAAAUGUGAGGCAAUCAGGAUUGUACAAGACUGCUAUCACCUUGCAAUUGGAAUGUUUAUUCAAAAGAUUUUUUGUCAAGUAUGUUUUUUGGAUUAAGUGUGCUAACCAUAAGAACAUCUUCAUUUGAGCUUUGGCACUAUCUAAUAUGUCCUAGUAGUACAUGGUGUUGUGCACAUUGGAAGAGAUUCCCUUUUGACAUCUUCUAGUCUUUGACUCUUUGCAGUGCAGCUUCAACACCAUGCUCGGCAUCGCCUUUCGACAUUUCAGUUGAUCUUUGUACAUGUAAUUGAAUCACUGGUUUUUGUUCCUUGUCCGAAUGCCAAUUUCAAUGAAGUUCUUUCCUUGCUUCUUUUUGUUGUAUUUUCUGGUCUUUCACAUAUAUUUCUUCUCUUAUUCAUAUGGUAAUGUUUGUAAUGUUUUAUUUUUCUCAGUGCAAUUUAAUUAAAUAUUAUCUGGAAAUAUUUUUUUUAAAAAGUUCCAGGUUUUUUAUAUUUGGCUCUAUCUACUAUAGCAGCUUUUAUGCAACAUCUUAUCUUGUACUUUUAGAAUCGUUUUGAGGUAAGAAAUGAUAAAAGUUGAAAAGAGCUACAAUUUGAAAA